UACGUAGGGAGCAAGCGUUGUCCGGAAUCAUUGGGCGUAAAGCGCGUGUAGGCGGUUACAUAAGUCUGUUGUGAAAGUCGGAGGCUCAACCUUCGAAAGCCGAUGGAUACUGUGUGACUUGAGUACGGAAGAGGAGAGUGGAAUUCCUGGUGUAGCGGUGGAAUGCGCAGAUAUCAGGAGGAACACCAAUAGCGAAGGCAGCUCGCUGGGACGUUACUGACACUGAGGCGCGAAAGCGUGGGGAGCGAACAGG
rnacentral:rRNA from 1 species